rnacentral:rRNA from 1 species
CAAUAGCGUAUAUUAAAGUUGUUGCGGUUAAAAAGCUCGUAGUUGGAUUUCUUCUCUUAUCAGCCGGUCCUCACUUCGUGAGAGUAUCUGGUCAGAUUUGAGAAUCCUCUUGAGGAACGUCGCUGCGCUUGAUUGCGUGGCACGGUAUUCAAGACUUUUACUUUGAGGAAAUUGGAGUGUUCACGGCAGGCAUUCGCCUUGUACACAUUAGCAUGGAAUAAUAAUAUAGGAUCACGACCCUAUUUUGUUGGUUUCUAGAGUUGUGUAUAAUGAUUAAUAGGGACAAUUGGGGGCAUUUGUAUUAACACGUCAGAGGUGGAAUUCUUGGAUUGUGUUACGACAAACUACUGCGAAAGCAUUUGCCAAGGAUUUUGUUUACUUAGUUAGUAUACGAAACGAAAACGGUAAAAGGGUAAAGGGUACGUACGGAACGAACGUAAGUUAAGUAACCUAACCUAACUUCGUAGGAACGUACGU